rnacentral:rRNA from 1 species
UCUGGUGAUGAUGGCAGAGGGGUCACACACGUUCCCAUUCCGAACACGACCGUUAAGCCCUCUAGCGCCGAUGGUACUUGCUCAUUCG